GAAAGUAAACAAGGGCGCAUGGAGGAUGCCUAGGCUCUCGGAGGCGAAGAAGGACGUGAUAAGCUGCGAAAAGUUACGGUAAGGCGCAAAUAGCCCUAGACCCGUAAAUAUCCGAAUGGGGCAACCCGGCCAGCAAUGGUCAUACCGCCAAGCGGUAAGCCAACGCGGGGAACUGAAACAUCUAAGUACCCGCAGGAAAAGAAAAUAACAAUGAUUCCGCCAGUAGUGGCGAGCGAACGCGGAACAGCCCAAACCACUCGUGUUACGGCACGAGUGGGGUAGAAGGAUCCACGAUACGGCAAGAAAUAAGUUAGCAGAAUACGAUGGAAAUCGUAGCCAAAGACGGUGACAGCCCAGUACGCGAAAACCGACAGAAGCCCAGUGGACACCUGAGUAACCCAGGACACGAGAAAUCCGGGGCGAAUCAGCGGGGCCCAUCCCGUAAGGCUAAAUACUCCCGAGAGACCGAUAGCGAACCAGUACUGUGAAGGAAAGGUGAAAAGAACCUCGAACAGAGGAGUGAAACAGACCCUGAAACCAUGCGCCUACAAGCGGUCGGAGCAUGUUAAAAUGUGACGGCGUGCCUUUUGCAUAAUGAACCUACGAGUUACUCUCGCUGGCAAGGUUAAGCGAUUCAGUCGCGCAGCCGAAGCGAAAGCAAGUCCGAACAAGGCGUACAGUCAGCGGGAGUAGACGCGAAACCAAGUGAUCUACCCUUGGUCAGGUUGAAGGUUGGGUAACACCAACUGGAGGACCGCACCGAUAAGCGUUGAAAAGCUUACGGAUGAACUGAGGGUAGGAGUGAAAGGCCAAUCAAACUUGGAGAUAGCUCGUACUCCCCGAAAUGCAUUUAGGUGCAGCCUCGAAGUAAAGUGAUAGAGGUAGAGCGACUGAUAAGAUGCGAGGGCUUCACCGCCUAUCAAGUCUUGACAAACUCCGAAUACUAUCACUUGAUCUUUGGGAGUGAGGGCAUGGGUGCUAAGGUCCAUGUCCGAAAGAGGAACAACUCAGACCACCAGCUAAGGUCCCGAAAUAAGGGCUAAGUUGAAUAAACGAAGUAAAACUGCAAAGACAGCUAGGAUGUUGGCUUGGAAGCAGCCAUUCAUUUAAAGAGUGCGUAACAGCUCACUAGUCGAGGAGUUUUGCAUGGAUAAUAAUCGGGCAUAAGCCCUUUACCGAAGCUGUGGAUGUCGUAAGACAUGGUAGGGGAGCAUUCCGGCGGCGACGAAGGCCGUCCUCGAGGACGACUGGAGCUUUCGGAAAAGCAAAUGUAGGUAUAAGUAACGAUAAAGGGGGCGUGAAACCCCCUCGCCAUAAGACUAAGGAUUCCUGAUCAACGCUAAUCGGAUCAGGGUAAGUCGGGCCCUAAGGCGCAGCCGAACGGCGUAGCCGAUGGAAGAAACGGUAAAGAUUCCGUUACUGGAUAUAGGAGCGAUGUGGAGACGGAGAAGUGACACACCCGCCUGCCGACGGAAGCGCAGGUUAAAGGAAGUAGGUAAACGCCGGGUAGGCAAAUCCGCCUGGCGUGCCGAAACUGACAGUAUCGAGAGCCCCCGGGCAAUCGAAUAGCGGUGGUAAUCAGGCUCCCAAGAAAAUCCGCUAAGCAUAUUCUAUAUCCACCCGUACCCCAAACGGACACACGUAGUCGGGUAGAAUAUACCAAGGCGCUCGAAAGACUCACGGUUAAGGAACUAGGCAAAUUGACCCUGUAACCUCGGGAAAAAGGGUCCCCAGUAAGAUGGGGCGCAGAGAAUAGGUCCAGGCAACUGUUUAACAAAAACACAGGGCUGUGCGAAAUUUCAAGAUGAAGUAUACAGCCUGACACCUGCCCGGUGCCGGAAGGUUAAGAGGAGAGCUAAUCGCAAGAGAAGGCUUGAAUUGAAGCCCCGGUAAACGGCGGCCGUAACUAUAACGGUCCUAAGGUAGCGAAAUUCCUUGUCGGGUAAGUUCCGACCUGCACGAAUGG
rnacentral:rRNA from 1 species